rnacentral:rRNA from 1 species
UACGGGGGGAGCAAGCGUUGUUCGGAUUUAUUGGGCGUAAAGCGCGUGUAGGCGGUUACGUAAGUCUGCUGUGAAAGUCGGAGGCUCAACCUUCGAAAGCCGGUGGAUACUGCGUGACUAGAGUACGGAAGAGGAGAGUGGAAUUCCUGGUGUAGCGGUGAAAUGCGCAGAUAUCAGGAGGAACACCGGUGGCGAAGGCGGGUCUCUGGGCCGAUACUGACGCUGAGGAGCGAAAGCGUGGGGAGCGAACAGG